CCAAUAGCGUAUAUUAAAGUUGUUGCAGUUAAAAAGCUCGUAGUUGAAUUUUAGAUCUGGCCGGGCGGUCCGUCUUUGGCGAGUACUGUCCUGUGUCGGGUCUUCCCUCUGGUGAACCAGUAUGUCCUUUAUUGGGUGUGCCGGGGAGCCAGGACCAUUACCUUGAACAAAUUAGAGUGUUUAAAGCGGGCUAUUGCUUGAAUAGAUUAGCAUGGAAUAAUAGAAUAGGACGUUGUGGUUCUAUUUUGUUGGUUUCUAGGACCACCGUAAUGAUUAAUAGGGAUAGUGGGGGUCAUUAGUAUUCAAUUGUCAGAGGUGAAAUUCUUGGAUUUAUUGAAGACUAACUACUGCGAAAGCAUUUGCAAAGGAUGUUUUCAUUAAUCAAGAACGAAAGUUAGGGGAUCGAAGACGAUCAGAUACCGUCGUAGUCUUAACCAUAAACUAUGCCGACUAGGAAUCGGGCGACGUUAUUUUAAUGACUCGCUCGGCGCCUUAUG
rnacentral:rRNA from 1 species